GUGCCAGCCGCCGCGGUAAUACGUAGGGUCCGAGCGUUGUCCGGAUUUAUUGGGCGUAAAGAGCUCGUAGGCGGUUCCGUAAGUCAGAUGUGAAAACUCAGGGCUCAACCCGGAGACGCCAUCUGAUACUGCGGUGACUGGAGUCUGGUAGGGGAACACGGAAUUCCUGGUGUAGCGGUGAAAUGCGCAGAUAUCAGGAGGAACACCGAUGGCGAAGGCAGUGUUCUGGGCCAGUACUGACGCUGAGGAGCGAAAGCGUGGGGAGCAAACAGGAUUAGAAACCCCCGUAGUCC
rnacentral:rRNA from 1 species